AUGCCCGCCGUUUUCCUCAAUGAAUUCUCAUCACUACUUACAUCUGUAUGUGCAAUGUCCCCCACUGUUAUCCUCCUUGGUGAUUUCAACAUCCACAUUGACAACCCAUCCUGUACUUUUGCUAAUGACUUCACAUCACUUCUGGACUGUCUUGGCAUCACACAACAUGUCAACCUCCCAACCCAUAACAAAGGUCACAUUCUGGAUUUAAUCUGCUGCACUGACAUCACUCCCACUAACCUUGAUGUCAUUGAUUUCCCCAUCUCUGACCACAAAGCUGUACUUUUUGACAUUCAUACCCAACUACACAAAACCAAGGAACAACGGACCAUCUCCUUCAGAAACAUCAAACUUAUCAACACCACAGACCUCUCCACCAUGAUCAGCUCCUACCCCAACCCUCCCCCAGCUUCCUCCCUGACUGACCUGGUGACUCACUACAAUAACUGCCUCUCCUCCUCCCUCACCACCCUGGCCCCCCUGAAAACCCGCUCAGUCUCAUUCACCCACACUGCUCCCUGGUUCACUCCUCAUCUGCGCCAGCUCAAAGCCACUGGUCGUCGACUGGAGCGACUCUACAAUAAGACUCAACUCACUGUACACCGCCAAAUGUAUUCGGACCACCUCCAUCACUACAAGAAUGCCCUCACCACUGCCAAAACCUCAUACUACUCCAACCUCAUCAACACUGGUACAGGCAACAGCAGAGUCCUCUUCUCAACAGUUAGCCAUUUACUUCAGCCUCCUAAAUCUCUCCCUCCAGACAUUUCCACCACCCAAUGCACUGCGUUCCUUGACUUCUUCAGCUCUAAAAUCAACACCAUUCACCAACAACUGGCCUCAUCUCGCACCCCCUCUGAUGACCCACCCUGGAUGAUCACCUCUGGCCAACCUCUCAUCAGCUCCCUCUCUGACUUCACCCUAGUAACAGAACAGACCGUUUCAGAACUCAUCCGCAAAGCCAAAACCACCACCUGUCAGCUCGAUCCUCUUCCCACCUCCCUUGUCAAAGCAUGUCUUCCGUCCAUCUCCCCCAUGAUCACCAACAUAAUUAACUCCUCCCUCACUACUGGUACUGUAGCCCCCACUCUCAAGCUGGCUGCCAUCACUCCCAUCCUAAAAAACCUGGUGCUGACCCAACUGACCUUAACCAUUACCGGCCCAUCUCCAAUUUCCCUUUCAUCUCCAAAACACUUGAAAGGGUGGUUGCCGCACAACUACAGUCCCACCUCGACACUAACAAUCUCCACGAACCGUUCCAAUCUGGCUUCCGUCCAAAACACAGCACUGAAACAGCCCUAG
rnacentral:lncRNA from 1 species